rnacentral:rRNA from 1 species
AUACGUAGGGGGCGAGCGUUGUCCGGAUUUAUUGGGCGUAAAGGGUGCGUAGGCGGCCUUGUAAGUCAGAUGUGAAAGAUCAUGGCUUAACUGUGGUAAGCAUUUGAAACUGCAGGGCUUGAGUACAGGAGAGGAGAGUGGAAUUCCUAGUGUAGCGGUGAAAUGCGUAGAUAUUAGGAGGAAUACCAGUGGCGAAGGCGACUCUCUGGACUGAUACUGACGCUGAGGCACGAAAGCGUGGGGAGCAAACAGGAUUAGAUACCCUGGUAGUCCACGCUAUAAACGAUGAGUGCUAGGUGUCGGGGGUCAAACCUCGGUGCCGCAGUUAACACAUUAAGCACUCCGCCUGGGGAGUACGGCCGCAAGGCGGAAACUCAAAUGAAUUGACGGGG